rnacentral:rRNA from 1 species
CCUACGGGAGGCUGCAGUGGGGAAUAUUGGACAAUGGGGGCAACCCUGAUCCAGCCAUGCCGCGUGUGUGAAGAAGGCCCUCGGGUUGUAAAGCACUUUCAGUGAGGAAGAACGCCUGGUGGUUAAUACCCAUCAGGAAAGACAUCACUCACAGAAGAAGCACCGGCUAACUCCGUGCCAGCAGCCGCGGUAAUACGGAGGGUGCGAGCGUUAAUCGGAAUUACUGGGCGUAAAGCGCGCGUAGGUGGCUUGAUAAGCCGGUUGUGAAAGCCCCGGGCUCAACCUGGGAACGGCAUCCGGAACUGUCAAGCUAGAGUGCAGGAGGGGAAGGUAGAAUUCCCGGUGUAGCGGUGAAAUGCGUAGAGAUCGGGAGGAAUACCAGUGGCGAAGGCGGCCUUCUGGACUGACACUGACACUGAGGUGCGAAAGCGUGGGUAGCAAACAGGAUUAGAUACCCCGGUAGUC